CUCAUUGUGACUCGCCAGACUUUUAUUGUCGUAGAUUAGAAGAGUAUGAACGCACAUUGAGUGUUUUAACAAUAAGAAUCACCGAAUCAUACAGACAUUAUUUAUACACAGACGCAUUAUUUGGUACAGACGAAUUCUGAGUACGUGGUAUUCGGAAACGAGAAUUCAGUUCUUCGGGUAACGAUGUGAACCGCUGCACUGAACCACCUUGUGAUACUGCGUUUUCUUCGCCCGUUUGCGAAGGAUGCUGUAAAUUGGUCACCGCGCUUAAGAUCGACUGAACAAAAUCCUGAACAUUUGGUAUUCUACUCUGUCUCUCUUCU